GAUGAACGCUGGCGGCGUGCCUAAUACAUGCCAGUCGAGCGAACAGAUGAGGAGCUUGCUCCUCUGACGUUAGCGGCGGACGGGUGAGUAACACGUGGAUAACCUACCUAUAAGACUGGGAUAACUUCGGGAAACCGGAGCUAAUACCGGAUAAUAUAUUGAACCGCAUGGUUCAAUAGUGAAAGACGGUUUUGCUGUCACUUAUAGAUGGAUCCGCGCCGCAUUAGCUAGUUGGUAAGGUAACGGCUUACCAAGGCAACGAUGCGUAGCCGACCUGAGAGGGUGAUCGGCCACACUGGAACUGAGACACGGUCCAGACUCCUAAGGGAGGCAGCAGUAGGGAAUCUUCCGCAAUGGGCGAAAGCCUGACGGAGCAACGCCGCGUGAGUGAUGAAGGUCUUCGGAUCGUAAAACUCUGUUAUUAGGGAAGAACAAAUGUGUAAGUAACUAUGCACGUCUUGACGGUACCUAAUCAGAAAGCCACGGCUAACUACGUG
rnacentral:rRNA from 1 species